rnacentral:rRNA from 1 species
UACGAAGGGGGCUAGCGUUGCUCGGAAUCACUGGGCGUAAAGGGUGCGUAGGCGGGUCUUUAAGUCAGGGGUGAAAUCCUGGAGCUCAACUCCAGAACUGCCUUUGAUACUGAGGAUCUUGAGUACGGGAGAGGUGAGUGGAACUGCGAGUGUAGAGGUGAAAUUCGUAGAUAUUCACAAGAACACCAGUGGCGAAGACGGCUCACUGGCCCGUUACUGACGCUGAGGCACGAAAGCGUGGGGAGCAAACAGG